rnacentral:rRNA from 1 species
UUCCGGUUGAUCCUGCCGGACCCCACUGCUAUCGGGAUAGGACUAAGACAUGCUAGUCGUGUGCCUCAGCCAAAACGAGGCACGGCGCACAGCUCAGUAACACGUGGCUAACCUGCCCUUAGGACGAGAAUAACCCCGGGAAACUGGGGCUAAUGCUCGAUAGGUGAAGAACUCUGGAAUGAGUCUUCACUUAAAAGAGUCUGCGUUAUGCUCGUAGAUUUCGCUUAAGGAUGGGGCCGCGACCGAUCAGGUUGUUGGUGAGGUAAUGGCUCACCAAGCCUUUUACCGGUGCGGGCCGUGAGAGCGGGAGCCCGGAGAUGGGCACUGAGACAAGGGCCCAGGCCCUACGGGGCGCAGCAGUCGCGAAAACUUUGCAAUACACGAAAGUGUGACAGGGCUAUCCCGAGUGCCAUCCGCUGAGGAAGGCUUUUACCCAGUCUAGAACGCUGGGGGAAUAAGGAGAGGGCAAGUCUGGUGUCAGCCGCCGCGGUAAUACCAGCUCUCCGAGUGGUGUGGAUGUUUAUUGGGCCUAAAGCAUCCGUAGCUGGCUAAGUUAGUCCCCUGUUAAAUCCAACGAAUUAAUCGUUGGAUCGCGGGGGAUACUGCUUGGCUAGGGGACGAGAGAGGCAGACGGUAUUUCCGGGGUAGGGGUGAAAUCCCAUAAUCCCGGGAAGACCACCAGUGGCGAAGGCUGUCUGCUAGAACGCGCCCGACGGUGAGGGAUGAAAGCUGGGGGAGCGAACCGGAUUAGAUACCCGGGUAGUCCCAGCUGUAAACGAUGCAGGCUAGGUGUUUGGACGGCCACGUGCCGUUCUAGUGCCGCAGGGAAGCUGUUAAGCCUGCCGCCUGGGGAGUACGAUCGCAAGAUUGAAACUUAAAGGAAUUGGCGGGGGAGCACCACAAGGGGUGAAGCUUGCGGUUUAAUUGGAGUCAACGCCGGAAAGGGCGAAUUUUGC